rnacentral:tRNA from 1 species
GCUGAGGAUGUUGCUCAGUGGUAGAGUGUUUGCCUCGCAAGUGGGAGGCCCUGGGUUCAAAUCACAGUACUGCA